rnacentral:rRNA from 1 species
AACGAACGCUGGCGGCAUGCCUAACACAUGCAAGUCGAACGAGACCUUCGGGUCUAGUGGCGCACGGGUGCGUAACGCGUGGGAACCUGCCCUUAGGUUCGGAAUAACUCCCCGAAAGGGGUACUAAUACCGGAUAAUGUCUUCGGACCAAAGAUUUAUCGCCUUUGGAUGGGCCCGCGUUGGAUUAGCUAGUUGGUAGGGUAAAAGCCUACCAAGGCGACGAUCCAUAGCUGGUCUGAGAGGAUGAUCAGCCACACUGGGACUGAGACACGGCCCAGACUCCUACGGGAGGCAGCAGUGGGGAAUAUUGGACAAUGGGCGAAAGCCUGAUCCAGCAAUGCCGCGUGAGUGAUGAAGGCCUUAGGGUUGUAAAGCUCUUUUACCCGGGAUGAUAAUGACAGUACCGGGAGAAUAAGCUCCGGCUAACUCCAUG